CUUUCCACACAUGAUGGUUUAAUAAUGACUUGGCUACAGUGAUAGUUAUGGAUACCAUUUUUAGCACGAGUCCGUUCUGGCGCAAUGUGUUGUCCACAUGCUGCCAGCUCCUGAUUGGCUGUAAACAGCGGGUUGCAGCUGUCAGCGAUGCCCUAUUGCAGAGACGUCAGGGUGCCGCGGCGCUGGAGGAGAAGGCGCGGUUUGCACCAGUAGAGGGCAACAGCUCCUCAGAAAUGGAGGGGAACGGCAUGAAUGAACAUGAGCAAGCGCAUCUGUAGUGCUUACGCCUGCAUGAGAGGCACGGGGGUGUAAAAGUGGAUUUUCGUAGCUGUGCUCUGACAUCGACAAACUUCACAUGAACAGUCUUUGUCCCACGUCGGGCUCCGUGCGCUCCUCCACCUUCCCACAGUGCAUCAGGUUGCGUCGGCCUCCACCUUCUCCUCCACUGCCUUUGUAAGUCAUGUGUCCAGCUGAGGCUCUGCCGGCUCGCACAUGCACCUGCUCGGUGUAACUCACCUCCAGGCCGCGGCGCCGCUGCGGCUUCCUCUGGCGACAAAGGUGCAGGGGCACAGAUGAACUCUCCCAGCUCUAGCGUCAGUGCAUGUUAAAUCCCCCAUUUCAUGUUAAAGAGAGGUGACAAGCAUCUCGUCAGACAAAACCAGAGGGUAAGUCUCUUCUCUUACUUAAUACCUUCAUGCGCAUAGAUUCCAGUCAGGAAGGAAUGACGUGGCUGAUGUGUAGACAGGUGAAAGACUACGUGCAUCACACACACCUGUGUUAAAUGUCUCAUUCAUGACGCUGGACUUCACCUGACCUGAGACCUGCUGGUGAGACUCUCGGCCGGGGAGCGACUCCACUGUCUUGUGCUCUGCAGCGUGAGGUAGUUGGUUGUAUGGUUUCGCAUAAUAAACAGCACGGAGAUAACUGUACAACCUUCUAGCUUUCCCUGCGGAGUCACUUCUAACCGCGUCUAACUCACCCCCAGCAGAGAAGUAAGUAUGUUGUUACUCCAACAAAGCAUCUCCUAGCGGUUAAUGACAUGAGUUGUCCUUUUCAACUGCGAUGCCUUUCAUCCCCUCAAGGUCUAAUCAGAUUCUCUCCCUCUGGGCUGAAUGCUCAUGGAGCUUUUCUAACAUCCCCGAGGGAUUGUGUAUCGUUAUGUGUAAUAUUUGUAACAGCCAGCAUCCAGUGCGUGGAUGCGGCUCCCACUGCCACACAAGCACCUUUAAGACCACACGCCAACAUUAGACGCAUUUAUGAAUGCGAUGUUUUAAUCUUCCCAUACCCUCAUUCUGUUUCGAGCCUCACACAGCACAUUAAAGCAAUCCAUGACCUCCUGCUUGUCACCGGUUCGUCAGCUCUAUUAUGGGAUGUGGCCGCCCGUUUUACACAUACGCUGCCUCCAUGUUACGGCUGCGUGUGCUGCCGCCUCCUCCAACACAUGCCAUCACACUAAUUCAUCCACUUUACUUCCCCACGACCCCCCCCCCUCCCCGCCUCCCCCCAGCAUGCUGGUCCUCCGCUGGAGACGGCAGCCAUCUGCACUGCGUUGCAGCCGGUCCUCCUCCCCGCCGGAGAGGGGGCGCAUGCAUCAGGAUUGUGCUGAUUCUGCACUGUCAGUCGUGGAGUUCUUUAUCAUCCACCAGUGAUGCUCCCCUGCCCGAUCAGACAGCUGAACGUCGCGGGGCUAAUGUGGACGGAGGGAAGGGCUGUGUGCUCUGCCUUUUUGUCUCAGCCUGCAACAGGGGCUGUUUUUACCAGCCAUUGGUUCCACUUGGCUCACUUUCCGCCCUGGCAGAUGCUGCGCCGGGCGCAUAUUUGCGAGCAGAUUGCUGCGCGAGCGCAUCCACAUGCAUGUGUGCUGCUGGGAAAUGUGUUUCAACAUUGGAAGCGUGAGCGAAACGCCUCAACCUCUCCCAGUCUUAAAUCAGCGCCGGUUCCUCGCGGCGUCGCAGUCGCUCUGUGUAAAGAUACGUACUUUUCCUGCCUAUACACACACAGGCAAGUUUUAAAACAUUCAUAAUGAGCAAAUAUGUCUCGACUGACGCCAGCUCUGGUCUCUCUGCGUAUCCUGGUGAACUAGAGCAUCCCGAUCCGGAGACAGACAAGGCAGACACCAUCCCAGACUGAUGAUGUCAUUCCUAUGGAGCACUCCCAGUGCUUUGUCUCUGUGGCACUGCAGAGUGCAGCCGCAGGCACAAACACACACUCGCACACACACGCGCACACACACACUCACACACACACUCCCCCACACACCUGUCUGUGGCGUUUUACGUUUGUCACUCGGGUUCGGACACUGCUUUUAUCUUACGUUCAAGCCAAAAUGGCGCCCACAUGUUCGAAUGUAAUCUAUCGGCGAGGGGACAGACAGACGGAUGCGAGCGGGAAAAGACUCCUGCACGCUUUAUAAUUUAUUCACGAUCCCCGUGUGUGGAAAACGCACAGGAACUUGCCUUGGUGACAUUAAUGCAGGAUUGGACAGAUUAUGUGCGCUACUUAGGCACAUAUUGCACCAGUGUUCGGUGCGGAGGGACAGUGUGGACCGCGCAGCUUGUGUGAAGCCAGUCAGCAUGUUGUUUCUAUGCUAAUUUAAAUGGCUUGGCAUUACAGUAUGACCGUGGCUACGGAGGAGGAUGUGCUGGGUCCUGUAGAGCAGGGACGCGCUGAAUAAAGUCGCUUACAUACAGAAUAGGAUCAAAGCGGGAAGUAAAUUUGGCGUCAGAGUAAGUGUCUUAAACCUGCUGCUACAGUGACACAGUCAAGUAUAUAAGCAGUGUGUGGUGAAUAUUCAUAGGAUAUUAUGUAUGUGUAGUGUGGUGUUAUAUUCUAACCUACAUAUCUGAAAGGUUGAACCCUCAUUAUAAAACAGAAGCUUCUUCUGAAGAGCGUUUGUGAUACGGAGAAGCUGGGUUUGUUCAUCAGUUGUCUGAUGUCUUUACAUUUUUAACUGCUCUCACUUGUUCGUGUAUUUUUCUCAGUUUCAUACCUGUUUUUGUGGCCGUUGGCUGUGUGAAGCAGCUGUCGAUCACAGAGGUUUCAUUCCAGGGCUCGGUCUCUCUUCGCUCCUUUGGACCCAGUACAUAGCAACUAUGUAUUUUCUUUGUCGGUUUACCCUCAUUUUCUCUAAGUGUGUCACACUCGGGUGAUAAUCUCUGUUGUACAACAUGGUCAGAACACUUUAGGGCCAUUAAUGGUGCUUACACAUCAAGUGCAGUGUUUAUGCUCCAUCUUGCUGAACAGGCAGCCAAUCAGUGGCCCUAAAUUAGAUUUACUUUCAUUUCUGAAUUUCCCUCAGGGCCUUAUGAUUCUGUUAUCCAACAAACACAACUGCUGCUCUCUGUCCUCACAAAGAUGAGAUAAAUGCUGGAAUCAAACUUCCUUUAAACGUAUGAACUGAUGUGACAAUGGUCAGAUAUAUUGAAGGUAUAAAACGUUUUAACUGAUUUGAUGCAUAGAGUAUUUAUAUAUCAUUUCCAUAAGGUCGACUGUGUAGUUGUCCACCUCUGAUGUCAAGCUCUGUAAUCAAAGCACAUUGGUGUAAUUGGCAAAGCUUUCCACAAUGGCUUCAUUUAGUGUUUGAUGUCACUCCAGCUGCAAUUUGGAGUUAUGUUGGUGCAACACUAUAAAUCCUGUAAUCAAUGUGAUGAUGGUAUGAUUGCUGUACACAUAGGAGGCAGUAAUGUCAGGCUCUCAGGUUCAUGAGACUCCUGGGCUUCAUAUUUUCUCUCUAUUCUCAUCCUAUUAGAGAUUCUGACCCUCCCCCUGCAUCCCCACUUUCUGCUAGCCUUUCUGCCACCCACCCUCCCCCAUCAUCUCUCUCUCUCGUUUUCUCUCUCACACACAUUCUCAAUUUCACAGACACACACACACCCAUAGACACACACACAUGCAUGCACUCAAUGCACUCUCUCUUUCUACCUAUCUCACACAUUCACACAGGCAGCUCACAGAUCGCGCGUGUGUGUGUGUGUGUGUGUGUGUGUGUGUGUGUGUGUGUGUGUGUGUGUGUGUGUGUGUGUGUGUGUGUGUGUGUGUGUGUGUGUGUGUGUGUGUGUGUGCGCCCAUGGAGGGGGUUUACUGAGCUAGCACAGACGUAAGGCUUGGAAAACGUGAGAGCAAAAGAGUGAGAUGGAAGGAUGACGACUAGAGAGAGUAAAAUAGGGAGAGAGAAAGGAAGAGAGGAGACUUUGAGGUGCAAUGAAAGCAGGAGGGGACGCUGGAAACCAUGAAUGCAGCGUGGAGGCUCUCGUGCGUUUGUGAUGGCAGCCCUGCAGAGACAAAAGACCAGGAGAUAGAUAGAGGGGGUGAGAGGAAGCGCACUGAUUCUGUCUGGGAGAGGAAAGAAAGAAGAGGCUCACAGUAAGGUGGAGCGACGUGUCUAAUGUUCUCCCAGUACGGCUCGACUCCGUCUUUGUCUUCCUCCUCGUAACCAUCGGAGACUCGUUUAGUUUUACCUGCGAACCAGGAGACCGGCCGGUGCCGCAGAAUCCAAAUGUCAGAUGAGGUCAUGUCUUUGUCUGGGUGCAGCGUCUCUGCGGAUCUUUCCUUUAAAACAUUUUUUGUCUACGUGUGGGGGUCUGCGCCUUAGUCCGCUGUAUAUUCAAUUCCUCCCUGUGUGUUUUCCUUUCACAGUAUGCCCCUCUGUCCCUGAGACCCUUAACCUGUGAGGUCAAAGCAGGUCACAGGUGAGGUCCUCGGGAACAGGGCUGCAUUCAGUUUCAACAGGAGCAUUUUGUAAAAUAUCUUUAUGUGACAUAUGUUUGGAUGUUUCGUUCAAGCCACUGUUUGACUGUAUGACUGAACAAUGAUGUAUUUUUAUAUUCUUCACGUCCAGCCGUGUGUCCCCUCACACUUUCAGUGUUUACCUGCCGUGACUCAGAAAGAAGACGACUUCUCCUGUUGCAGCAGAGCACCUCUCAGGGGGCUGAACCCUAUUGGCUGGCUUUGUGGUGAAGCCCUGAAUAGGGGCAAACAGGAAGACAGCCAUGGGUUGUGACCCCGUCUUAUUCACCACCUUCCAGAAUUGAUGCAUAAUGUGCAUGCUAUUUAAUAAACGCCGGUUCAGUUUUUCCUCCUACCUGAAUAAAAAUAUGACAAUCAG